rnacentral:rRNA from 1 species
GACGAACGCUGGCGGCGUGCCUAACACAUGCAAGUCGAACGAGUCCCAUCCUUCGGGAGAAGACCUAGUGGCGAACGGGUGAGUAACACGUGAGAAACCUGCCCCGAAGACCGGGAUAACCCUCCGAAAGGAGAGCUAAUACCGGAUACCCCAACCGAGCCGCAUGGUUUGGUGAGGAAAUGGAUUCCGCUUCGGGAGGGUCUCGCGGCGUAUCAGCUAGUUGGUGGGGUAACGGCCCACCAACGCAUCGACGGGUAGCUGGUCUGAGAGGACGAUCCGGAACGCUGUUACUGAGACACAGACCAAACUACUACGGGAGGCAGCAGUGUGGCAUCUUGAAAAAUGGGAGUAACCGUGAUGCAGCAACGCGGCGUGAGUGAUGAAGUUCUUCUGAUUGUAAAGCUCUGUCUUUAGGGACGAUAAUGACGGUACCUAAGGAGGAAGCCGCGGCUAACUACGUGCCAGCCGCCGCGGUAA